CAAAAUCACUGAAGUACCGAAGCCAGGGACUUAUCGUUUGAAGGCAUUAGAUGGAUCAGUAAUUAAAAACACUUGGCACGCUGGCAGGCUUAGAAAGUACUUUCAGUAGAUUCAAUGUCAGUACAUCGGAAGUCUGUAAAUAUUUACAUCAUCAUCAAUAAAAAUUCCUCUUUUCUCUCAAAUAAAUUUUGUCUCUGUUGCUGCUCAGUUCAUUGGUGUUAGGAGGCUCGGGAGGACUCGCUGACCAUUCGAUGGUAGCCUCUUCGGCAGGUGGUCCUUAUGAGUUUGUCAGGCCCUUCGUGGUAGGCAAACGUCAUUGGUGUUAGGAGGUUCGGGAGGACUCGCUGACCAUUCGAUGGUAGCCUCUUCAGCAGGUGGUCCUUAUGAGUUUGUCAGGCCCUUCGUGGUAGGCAAACGUCAUUGGUGUUAUGAGGUUCGGGAGGACUUGCUGACCAUUCGAUGGUAGCCUCUUCGGCAGGUGGUCCUUAAGGCAUUGUCAGGCCCUUCGUGGUAGGCAAUUG
rnacentral:lncRNA from 1 species